rnacentral:misc_RNA from 1 species
UCCGGUUUGGCACCGGCAGUCCCCCUAGAGUGCCCGGCUCGGCCGAAGCCUCUCCGCUGGUAACUAGGGGCGGGGGUUGCGCUCGUUGCGGGACUUAACCCAACAUCUCACGACACGAGCUGACGACAGCCAUGCAGCACCUGUGCACGGACUCCGAAGAGGGCCCCCCGUUUCUGGGGGGUUUCCCGUACAUGUCAAGCCCGGGUAAGGUUCUUCGCGUUGCGUCGAAUUAAACCACAUGCUCCACCGCUUGUGCGGGCCCCCGUCAAUUCCUUUGAGUUUCAGCCUUGCGGCCGUACUCCCCAGGCGGGGCACUUAAUGCGUUAGCGACGGCACUCGGAGGGUCGCUCCCCCAAGCGCCUAGUGCCCAUCGUUUAUGGCGUGGACUAC